GAUGAGUAUCCAAGCAGUAAAAACAGCGAGCAAAUACAGUCUGAAUUCAGACAUAUACGCAUCCUUACAUUUUUUCUGCGCGGCUUGCUAAAUAUGAAUGUCAACCUCCCGAAAAUUGUAUUACAGAUGUAAAAGCGUUUUAUUUGUAUGUUUUGGACGGCACAUUUGGUACUGUGACAUCAUUUGCUGCGAUCAAUUUUACAUUGCAUCAAAAUUAACAGUUCCAGAAUGCACCCACCAUUUAAUUUGAUGCAAUUCAAAUUGUUGAUUGUAAUUGUUCCUCUUUUACCUGCAGCAGCAAGUUUGGUUAUUGCAUUCUUACAAAAUUAUGACAUUUUUGUGAUAGGUAUAGACUAGUGAAGCAGGAAAACAUGUUUCCAUUUAAAGCAUUACUGAGGUGUGGAUUUCGAGUCCAAAAUUAAACAUCUUCAAUUUGAGUACAGAGCUCCAAGUCCAAGUGCAGGUUGAAUUUUUUUUGUCGUUUUACUUUCCCACCAUGUAGUAAGUGGUCCAACGGGCGAGAAGCAAAGAACCAAAAAGCACGGUGUAGCUGAAUAGGACAAAUUUGAGGAUUUCCCUGAAUGUCCGCAGGAAGCGGAUAAACAAAGGCUCGGAAUCCAGAUGCACCUCCUGUGUCAUGUGCCUGGGAGCAGCAGGAGUCAGGUGUCCCAGGUUCCCACCUCGUCCCAUUCUGCAAACACACACUUGUCACGACACGAAAUAAUGAAGCAAAUAAAUAAUGUAUAGCAUUUCAAUUCAAGCAAUUGUAUUAGAGGACACACGCUCAUGUUGACUACUGUUUAAUAAUUAAUCUGCAGAUUGCACUAAAAGGUUUCAGUAUUGAUCUUAAUUUCACAAACAACGCGUCUUCAGUCAUUCCUUUAGCUCUCAUAAAACUAUGCUCUUCAAAAUUCACACUCAGAAAAGGCCAUAACUAAAAAUAAGCACAAAAAUAUGAAAACAUUAAAUUUACAUGAAAAAAAAGGACCAGUGAAAUGUAAAACUGUGAUAGAAGUUGCAGUCAAACCAUCAAUUGUCCAAGAGGAAGUCUUUCAAGACUUUAAUUUUUAAAAUACUGUAAGUACUACUUGCUAAAAUGAGACACACUUAUAAAACAAUGUACUGUUUAUGAAGCAUCAUAAAGCUAUAUGAUGUUAAAUUGUAUUCCGCUAAAUGGUAAAAGAAAUGAUAUAUUAAUCAAAAUGAAAGCAUCCAAACAUCCACAAGCAACAGUCGUCAUUAUUGUAGCUUUAAAUUAAAACUCAUACCUUGAUGUUGUUGAAGGAGGACCGGCGGUGUUCACAGGGCGGGCUGUUACUCUCCUAGCCGCAAAGUUGGCUGGUGCAACCUGCAGCCUUUCAACUCCCAGCUGAGGAGGAGCCAAAGACAAGAACUGAUCACAAGGAUUUUAUUCCCCUGGGAUUGAUCCUUAUGGAUGCUGAGGCCUGAGCUCUCCAGACGGCGCAGGAGCAUUAUCGGCUGAUCGGGAGGCCUGUUACUGCACUAAUUGCUCCUUCCGAGGGCUGGGCCAGUGAUGACAGCACUACUCCCACCUCCCUCAUCGAAAU